rnacentral:rRNA from 1 species
UACGGAGGGUGCAAACGUUGCUCGGAAUCAUUGGGCGUAAAGCGCACGUAGGCGGCUCAGCAAGUCGGGUGUGAAAGCCCUCGGCUCAACCGAGAAAGUGCAUUCGAAACUACUGAGCUUGAAUACUGGAGAGGAUCGCGGAAUUCCCGGUGUAGAGGUGAAAUUCGUAGAUAUCGGGAGGAACACCAGUGGCGAAGGCGGCGAUCUGGACAGAUAUUGACGCUGAGGUGCGAAAGCGUGGGGAGCAAACAGG